rnacentral:rRNA from 1 species
UACGUAGGGACCGAGCGUUGUCCGGAAUCAUUGGGCGUAAAGAGCGUGUAGGCGGCCACUUAAGUCCUGCGUGAAAUCUUGCGGCUCAACCGCAAGCGGUCGUGGGAAACUGGGUGGCUAGAGUGCGGGAGAGGAGAGUGGAAUUCCUGGUGUAGCGGUGGAAUGCGUAGAUAUCGGGAGGAACACCAGUGGCGAAAGCGGCUCUCUGGGGGCGAUCUGACGCUGAUGCGCGAAAGCGUGGGGAGCAAACCGG